AUUGAACGCUGGCGGCAGGCCUAACACAUGCAAGUCGAACGAGUGGCGGACGGGUGAGUAAUGUCUGGGAAACUGCCUGAUCGAUGGGGAUAACUACUGGAACCGGUAGCUAAUACCGCAUACCAUCGGAUGAGCCCAGAUGGGAUUAUCUACUAGCUGGGGUAAAGGCUCACCUAGGCGACGAUCCCUAGCUGUUCUGCGAGGAUGACCGGCCACACUGGAACGGAGACACGGUCCAGACUACUACGGGAGGAAGCAGUGGGGAAUAUUGCACAAUGGGCGCAAGCCUGAUGCAGCAAUGCCGCGUGUAUGAAGAAGGCCUUCGGGUUGUAAAGUACUUUCAGCGGGGAGGCGUUACCCGAAGAAGAAGCACCGGCUAACUCCGUGCCAGCAGCCGCGGUAAUUC
rnacentral:rRNA from 1 species